AUGGAUAUAUGAACGAACCCAAAAGCCACAUCAGAAAACGAAAACGUAGAGAAGAUGAUGAUGAUGAUGACGAUGAUGAAGAAGAAGAAGAAGAAGAAGAAGAGAGAGAGAUGGGAGGAGGUUAGUGGAUAUGAGAGAAGGAGAUAUCCCUCUUUGUCAUCCCCAAUGGCAAAUCAACUCAGAAUAUCUAUUUGCAUUUUUUAUCUUCGAGUAAUGGGAAAAAAAUAGUUCAAAAAAUAAAAAGAUGGCAAGGGCUAAGGAGGGUGGAAGCCUACGGCUGAA
rnacentral:lncRNA from 1 species